CAUAAUUCCAUUUUCUUUUACAUAAAGAGAAUACUUCAAAAUGAGAAGAUCCUGCCAUGGAAAAGACGACUGGGCGGACAUAAAGUGGAAAGGAGGGGAAAUAAUUCACACCAUGCAGCAGGACACCUUCAGCUGCGGGGUUUUUGUAAUGCAGGUUUGAUAGUUAUAUUUUAAAUAAUUAAGCUGUUAUGUGACAAUUAGGUUAAACUAUUUUAUUUCUUGGUGUAGAUGGCCAAGGAAGUUGCACAGAACUUCCCCAACAUCCCCUCCCAAAUUGAUAUGGAACUUUCAAAAACACAUGGAGCAACUGCGAAAAGAAAUGGCUGAGGAUAUGCUAAAAAUGUCUGAGUUCAACAAAGCCAACUGCUUCAUGUGUGCCACUGAUAAAGAACCUGGAUGUGGCCCAAAGACUGACUGGGGCUAGGAACCCUCCAUGUUCAGGACCCUACCCAGGGCUGGCAUCUCUCAGCCUGUGGAUCUUCUCUUCUAUCCUGGCUGUAUGCUGGCUCUUCUCCUGCACCUCCUUCUCCACCUCCCUCCGAUUCCUGACCUCGUCUGACAGAUGAAUUACCUUUAAUACAAAGAAACACAGAAAAGUAUGUGAGGUGACCAAGGUUACUUCAGCUCCUCAUUUUCACUUUGUUUCAUUAGUUUUAUUUUAGUUUGACAGGUUUUAUAUUUACUUAUAUAUGUGUGUUGUGCUC